CUCGGACAACACAAAUUCUCAAUGUGUAUUGCAGGGGUAUAACGCUAACUAACUAGCACACUAACGUGUGUCUGGCAUCUUUGCCUACCGUACUGCAUAUCUUAGACGUGACAUUGCCGUGAUUUCUGAAUAUGUGUUGAUUGUCUGUACCUAGCUAAGGCACCUGUUAGAUGCAUAUUUUACUAUUACUCAUGUAUUUUCAGUGCUUAACUUCACUUAAAAUAUAAAAAC